GUUCUUAGCUUAGUUACUCCACUAUAUAAAAAUAUAUAAAUAAGAAAUCCUGCGAUAGCAGGAUUCGGCAGUAAAAUUAUACAAAAACCUUACCCGACUGGAUCACGGCACAAAUUUACUUUUUUUUUACAGAAGACUGACUUACAAGAAUAACAAGGACAUUUUAACUUUAAGAGAGAAAUGUUAGGGAACAGCAUUAUUGAAUUUUGAAUAAAGAAAAACUAAACUACGAAAUCACUAGUUAUAACGAUUUUUCCGAAAGGUCACUGGACACUGGCCCUUCCUUCAGAUUUGAAAAAAUCAGACUUUCUAUAUUUCGUUCCACGAAAAACUUGUAUCUUUGCUGUACCUACUAAUUUUAAUUUUUCAUUUAAAUAUAUACCUUAUUGGAUAUAAAAUAAAUAUAUUUUUAAAAUAUCAGUAACACGUGUUAUUGAAGCAGGCAUUUUUGAAGUGAAGCUGUUUUAAAGAAUUCAGCGAAGUAAAAAGACGAUUUCGAUGAAUUCAAAAGAAAGGAAGAAAAAGAUCUACUCCAAAGAGGUAAAGUUGAUUGGCACAACAGCCUUAAUAAAUACAGGUUUUUAAUGUUAUCGAUACCUACCUAUUUCCAAAACAAACCAAUACAUAUCUAAAAAAAAUUAUAUUGAAUUCAAUUUGUAUGAACAGCUUUUUGAUUUUCUUGAACAAGAAUCUUCAAUUACUCUAGUCAAAGGUAAUUCUUUUGCCUAAAAAACAUGUUUACCCAUUCAAAUGCGUCAUAUUCUUAUUAGACUAAUAGGAAUAUCACUAUAUUAAUAAGAACCUAUUGGAUACUAUCCCCCUAAAAUAAUCCACUGCGACAGCACUGGUUCGCCAAAAUGGGGAGAGAGAAUAUGGCAUUAGCAAAAGAAACAUCACAACAAUUUCACACAACGAUGGCGAAAAUAACGUCAACAUCACGGAUUCGCUACAUUCUACAUUUAAAACAUAGAGGUGGUGGAUUCGUGUAUUCGUAAUUGUAUCGUGGUGCAAGUCGGUUCGUUGGCAGAGGUUCCAAUAUUAUACACUUUAUACUUUACUUUUAACUUUACCUAUAUCCGUGACGUUUGGCCGCUGUUAAAUUGCGCUCAUUCGAUUUCUUUUCCACAUUGAUGUUCGUGUUUCUUAUAAAAUUUCUGCACUAUGCAACUGCACCGUAAAAAUUCUCGUUUUUCCUUUCUCUGUGCGGAAGAGCUAGUAGAGCAGAGUGCUUUGCUUCUUUUUUAAUUGUGUAUUAAAUUCAAAAAUAAUUUUAUAGUUCAUUUUUUGCAAGUGCAAUUGAAUAAAUAUAGAAGGGAAUAUAAAUAAAUAAUUUAUAAAAAAAAAACCAGUGAAUUUUAAGUAUGUUUUUCUCUGAGAGAGUAGUUUCAUUUUGAAAAAAAUUUGUAUGUGCUUUUUGAGAAAUUUGAAAAAAAAGAGUCUGAACGAUUUUCGCUAAGAAAAUCAUUUUGAAAUUUCAAAUAGCUUACCUACUAUAAAAAAUAUCAACCAGUGUCAUAAAAAAAAAAGUUUUGUUUAAUUUUUUUAAAUGCAUUUUAAGUACUUUUCGGACGACGACGAUUUUGUUGGGAGAAUUUAACGCAUACAUGAUAUUAUUGUUGUUAUCUAAAAAUUUGUGCAAUGAAAGCUUUUAUAAGCAAAGAGAGCUUGUAUGAAUUCAGUAGAUAGCAUCGUUUGAGUAAAUUUUUUUUUUUUAUAUAUUUAUUAUUAACACGGCGGAGAAAAUAAAUGCACACAUUAAAAAAAAAACAACAAAAAAGCACACGAUAACUGAGAGAAACAUGUGCGAUCUAGUCUCUUAUCGUUAAACUACUCUAUUCUAUAGGCAUUUUUAUAUUAGCAAUAUACUUGCCUCUGCUGGAUUUGUUGUUCGUUUUCGUUUCGUUUUUGCCGAUCAAUAUGUAUGUGUGUGUAAAUUUAAAGAAAAAUCUUGAACGAUAUUUUAACAAAUUUUAGAUACCACAACUUACCUAUACACUUAUCUUCUUAAUACUUGCUAAAAUAUAAAAUAUACUUUUUUUUAUUUGUAUAUCUUUUUUGGAUGGUUUAUAAUUUAACUGAGCUGACAUAAAAAAAAUGUCAGAUUCAGACUUUAUUGAUACGAAAGCAGAUAUUUGUGGUGGAGCAUCAAGCUCAAGUGGAAGUUCAUUGUCACCGCGAACUCCUCCAAAUUGUGCUCGUUGCAAGAAUCAUGGCUUGAAAAUAACAUUAAAGGGACACAAGCGAUAUUGCAAAUAUCGAUGUUGUAAUUGUGAAAAAUGUCGUUUAACAUCGGAUCGCCAAAAAAUAAUGGCAUUACAAACUUCAUGGCGUCGGGCUCAAGCACAGGAUGAAGCUAGAGCAUUAUUAAUGGGUGAGGUACCGCCUACUGCACCCGUGACUUCGUUUCUACAUCAUCAUCAUCAUCUUCAUCAUCAUCAUAGCAGCAGCAGUAGUAGUCACAGUCACACAACAAAAAUUAUAACCACAGCAGCAGAUGAAUAUAGUAGUAGUAAAGAUCAUCAUCCAGAACCUGCUUCUGCUGCUGCUGCUGCUGGUCCUGCAAUACAACAAACAUCGUUAGAAGGAUCAUGUGAUUCUUCAUCAUCACCUUCGUCAACUUCAGGUGUAGCAUCCUCGCCAUUAGCUAGAAAGCUAACACCUAUCCACCCAAAUGGUGCUCAUAUGCCGUUCGGUCAAAGCGCAGAAGUUUUUUUGGAAUAUUGCCAAAAACUUUUAGAAAAAUUUCGGUAUCCUUGGGAAAUGAUGCCACUUAUGUAUGUGAUACUCAAAGAUGCAAAGGCUGAUAUAGAAGAAGCUUCCAGGCGAAUAGACGAAGGUCAACUUGUAGUCAACAAUUACUCCCGGCAACAUAAUUUAAAUAUAUAUGAUGGGGGAGAGUUGCGUGGCACAACUCGUCAAUGUGGAUGAUAAUUUAUGUAAAGAACUUUUGUUUUACAAGUAUAUUAUAAGCAAUAGUAAACGUUUGGUUGUGUCGUCAAUCAAUAUAGUUACUAAGUAGAUAACAUCAACAUGCUUAUUUUUUUUUUAUAAUUAUUCAAUUUUUUGUGUCUAGCUAAAUUGCAGGCUAAGUAAUCAUAUAGAAAUUUAUAGUUUUUAAUAAUAUUCUUUGAAUUUCUUAUAUACCUAAAAAAUUCGUAGCAAAAAAUUCAAGGCUAUUUUUAUGAGCCUAAAAUACAAAUAAGGAGCUAUUCGACUUUUUAAUAUUUUAAACUUCAAUCAACAACCAAUAAACAACCAAUCAACUCAAACCGACAAAAAUUCAUAUCAACUUCAACAUAAAAUAUUCUUGUGCAGUUUCUUCAAUCAACAUAUCUUCAAUAUCUUCAUACAACAUGGAUUUCGAAUGGAUAACUUAAUUUAAUUCAAUACAAUUUUUGCAAUAUAUAAAAGUAUUAAAUUUAAAAUGAUAUUUAAAAAUGUUUUAAUAAUUUGAUGAAAUGCUUUUUUAACAAGAAACAUUCAACUAACUAAACAGUAAUCGAUAUAAAUCAAAGUUGUGGAGUCGAAUUUAUAAACGAAACUUUCAGUUGAACUCUGUGGCUGUGAGCGAGGCAUAAUGCUUAUUAUCUGUAGCAAUAAAAAUUUAAUUAGAACAAUCUUAACUUACUUAACAAAAAAUAUGAAUGCAGCAUCAAAAUUGGGGCAGUUUGUACUCUGCUGGGAAUAAAAAUAUAUGAAUUUGAGCUCACAUUAAAGUGUAUCCCGUAAAAAAAUAUUUUAUAAAAAUAAUUUUUUUCAGGAAUCAAUAGCGAAUCAAAAGCUUCAUAACAUUAAUAGAGGUAGCUCACUUUUGAGUGAACUACCUACACAUAAUAUACAUAUAAUCAGAAAUGGAUGGCUAUGAAAUAUAAUCAAGUUUGCAAUCGAUUUUGAACAAUUUUUUUUUUUUUUGCAAAUCAACAUUGUAUAUAUAAACUUAAUUAUAGUUUAAAUAGUUAUUGAGGGUGAGUUUGUAUAUAACUAACGACCAUAUAAUUCACUCGUAUAAUUUAUAUUUUAAAAUUAUAACUGGUUGCAAUUUUUAAGGAAACUUAAAGCCAAAUAAAUAAUUAAAAUUCAUAUUAUUCAUUACUCAACCCCAAUUUUUAAAUCCAAUCUCAUUAACUCCAAAUGAAAUUUGACUGCUCCCUGCAGCACAAAUCUAGAUACAAAAUUCAUUUUUGCAUUAAAUUUAGUUCCUGUUCUUAAAACGAAUUAAAAAAUAUGUUAGAAUCACACAAAAUAAAAACGGAAAAAUGACAAACAUUUUAUA